rnacentral:rRNA from 1 species
AUGAGGCUCGACGGCAUGGAGCGCGUCUUCUGGAUGACCGGCGACUACAAGUCCCACCCCGACGACGGCUACAACAAGACCGCCGUGCCCGUCGUGGAGAACAUCAGCUACCAGGACGGCGCGCCCUUCAAGGGCAUCUGCAUGGCCAACGUCACCACUGAGAUGACCAAGGAGAGGAAGGUGUCGUGGAACUGCGCCGAUGUCGAGGGCGUGUCGGCCGGCGUCACCCCGGCGCCAUGUGCGCCGCUGCAGGGCACCCACGCCGGCUCCUGCCUGUUCCCUACGGACACGCUCGCCGUCGACCAGAUCGCCGUGCAGCAAUGCUCAUACUCCAUUGCACCAGCUGCUUCUUCAGUGACUGGGACAGAGUAG